GUGUUUGCCAGGCCCCGACAUAGUCUCACAAGAGACAGCUACAUCUGGGUCCUUUCGAUAAAAUCUUGCUAGUGUAUGCAAUGGUGUUAUAAGUACCGCGCGCUAACCGAUUGCGCCACUGGAGCUCCCAAAAACAUCUCUUAAUGUUGAUGCUGCCAGGGGCUACUUGAAUAAGUAAAUCAGGCUUGGGGCUGGAGUCUAUGUCCACUCUGGUAUCAGGAGUCACUGCUGUGCCUUCAUGGGGUUUCAUAAGACCAGUAUGCCUACUAAUGGAAGACUGAGGUUCCUGAAGAGAAGCCCCUGUCCACUGGGAAUCAGCACUUGUUGUCUUUUUAGGGGCGCUUAGCAUAACCUAGGUUCACUUGGGAAGAGGGACCCUCAAUUGAAGAGCUGCUUUGAUCAGGAUGCUAUGGCCAUGUCUGGGAGAGAUUGUUCAGACUGAUGAAUGACAUGAGCGGGGCCAACUCUAGGCAGGUGGACCUGGCCUUUAUAAGAAAGCUAUGAGCCACUUAGGGAUCUGGUAAGUACUGUCUCCUUAGUUUCUGCUUCAGUCCCCGCCCUGAAUUCCUUCAGUCAUGGACCGUAACCUGGAAGCAUAAGCCAAGUAGAUCUCUUCUUCCUGCAUCCAGUCAGAGUAGAAGAGCAAAAUACAGCGCUCAUCUUCUACGGGUAGACAGCAAGCAGGAUGCUCACUCCAUGGCAGCCCUGGAACAAGGCCACACUGUUGGGUCCUUGCUCACUUCCUCCCAACCACCAUGCCAGGGGAGUCCCCUACAUGCUGGUGGUCCCCUGCAGUAGUUCAUGUCCCCAGCAGACACAGAGGGAACACUAAGCUUUUCUUGGAUAGCUCCGCUGCCCACAGAGCUCUCUUUUCUCAUCUUCCUUCCUACCUCUCUGCUUUCUAGCCUCUGACCAGCAACCUGAGCAAGGAUCAUACUGCCUAAGCCUUUCCCAUGUGAAUGUUGGUGCUCCUUCCAGAGAGGAUUUCCAGUGAUACUGAACCCCCUCCCAGGGUCACCCCUUAACUGGAAUAUGGAGUGAGGCCGGCUGACUUUUGGGUUGAUAUUUACAUAUGCAGAGAUGCUGCCCUGUUAAGAACCUGUGUAAAUGCUUUCACUGGAGAAAGACAGUCACCUUGCGACAGAGUUCCACAAGCACUCAGAAUUUCCUGCUUCAGAACCUCGUAAGCUGACAAGUUCGAGAGACGGUCUCUAUGCGUUGGUAGUGAGAGAUGAAAGAGAUGCUUCAUCUCUACGUUCACACUGAAACCACCUCACAGGUUUGCCUGUCUGGAAAAGCCUCUGAAAGAAGUGAGGAGGGGCUAGCCUGGUUUUGCACAUUUACCAUUUGGUUAUUUUUGUUUGUUUGUUUGGUUGGUUUGGUUUUUGCUUUUGUUUAUUCAAGACAAGGUCUCUCUGUGUAGCCCUGGCUGUCCUGGAACUCACUCUGUAGACCAAGCUGGCCUUGAAUUCACAGAAUUCUGCCUGCCUCUGCCUCCCAAGUGCUGGGAUUAAAAGUGUACACCCC
rnacentral:lncRNA from 1 species